rnacentral:rRNA from 1 species
UGGGGAAUAUUGCACAAUGGGCGAAAGCCUGAUGCAGCGACGCCGCGUGAGGGAUGACGGCCUUCGGGUUGUAAACCUCUUUCAGCAGGGAAGAAGCGAAAGUGACGGUACCUGCAGAAGAAGCGCCGGCUAACUACGUGCCAGCAGCCGCGGUAAUACGUAGGGCGCAAGCGUUGUCGAUNAUUGGGCGUAAAGAGCUCGUAGGCGGUUAGUCGCGUCUGCUGUGAAAACUCGAGGCUCAACCUCGGGCUUGCAGUGGGUACGGGCUGACUAGAGUGCGGUAGGGGUGACUGGAAUUCCUGGUGUAGCGGUGGAAUGCGCAGAUAUCAGGAGGAACACCGAUGGCGAAGGCAGGUCACUGGGCCGCAACUGACGCUGAGGAGCGAAAGCAUGGGGAGCGAACAGGAUUAGAUACCCUGGUAGUCCAUGCCGUAAACCGUUGGGCACUAGGUGUGGGGUCCAUUCCACGGAUUCCGUGCCGCAGCAAACGCAUUAAGUGCCCCGCCU